rnacentral:rRNA from 1 species
AGUUUGAUCAUGGCUCAGGAUGAACGCUGGCGGCGUGCCUAAUACAUGCAAGUCGAACGAGGUGCUUUUGUAGCAAUACGAGAGUAUCCUAGUGGCGAACGGGUGAGUAACGCGUGGAUGACCUGCCCCAAAGUGUGGGAUAACAGUCCGAAAGGAUUGCUAAUACCUCAUGUGGUUAUCGGUUUUAGAAAGCGAUAACUAAAGCAGCAAUGCGCUUUGGGAGGGAUCUGCGUCCCAUCAGCUAGUUGGUGAGGUAACGGCUCACCAAGGCGACGACGGGUAGGGGACCUGAGAGGGUGGCCCCCCACAAUGGAACUGAAACACGGUCCAUACACCUACGGGUGGCAGCAGUAGGGAAUAUUGCUCAAUGGGCGAAAGCCUGAAGCAGCAACGCCGCGUGUGCGAUGAAGGCCUUCGGGUCGUAAAGCACUUUCUAAGAGAUGAGAAAGGACAGUAUCUUAGGAAUAAGUCUCGGCUAACUACGUG